rnacentral:lncRNA from 14 species
AGAGGUUCUGAACAUACCAAACCAUGAAGGCAACCAAAAUAAGAGGACACUUCCACCCUGAGUAAUGUGCUUUGUUUUACAGUGAGAGGAAGCAGCAGAGCUGGGAACAGCACACAGAUGUCCAGAGUCAACUCAAGGAACUCCAGACAAACACAGCAAGACAACCACCAGCACAGUGACACAGUCCAGUCUGUGAGAGGUCCUGCAGAUGCCUCUGACAUUCCUGCUGGCCGAGAUGGGCAGCUCUGCUGGGAGACCCCUCCCUCCUAUUGCUGGUCAGGACAGGGACAUAAUUGAAGGCCCUAGAAGACUGACUGAGUGGAGAGCAAAGGCAGGACUGACUGACAGGACUUCUCCUGGUGAUGCAAUUGAGGGUGAAUGUGGAUGAACAUGACAUACCCCUUGCAGAUGGAGUGAAUGUGUUCUCCUUGCUUCUCUGCCUGCCCUUCAGUACCAAAUGGGAGAUGAAAUGUUUUCCUGUUCAGUGUAUACAGAAGAGUUUGGAGUUGAGCUGUUCUCUCCCCAACUGUAAAACUACAGUGAAAUCCAGAGUCUUUCUUUGUGUUCCAUUGCCUGCUUUGAGGAAAACAGUGGUCAUGAGAUCAGCCUCAGGGUACCACUGA